CUGCAGCCCGAGUGGUGAUCGAUUUUAUUGAGCCUAAAGCGUCCGUAGCCGGACUAGUAAACCCUUGGGUAAAUUGGGCAGCUUAACUGUCCAAAUUCCGAGGGGACUGCUAGUCUUGGGACCGGGAGAGGUCAGAGGUACUCAAGGGGUAGGGGCUAAAUCCUGUAAUCCUUUGGGGACCACCAGUGGCGAAGGCGUCUGACUAGAACGGAUCCGACGGUAGGGGACGAAACCCUGGGGCGCGAACCGGAUUAGAUACCCGAGUAGUCC
rnacentral:rRNA from 1 species